GCCUGUGUUGCUCAGUGGUAGAGCAUCUGUCUUGUAAACAGAAGGUUCCCGGUUCAAUACCGGGUGGAGGCA
rfam:Plasmopara halstedii genome assembly, contig: Scaffold_430